CGAAGGAGGCUAGCGUUGUUCGGAAUUACUGGGCGUAAAGCGCGCGCAGGCGGUUUUUCAAGUCAGUGGUGAAAGCCCGGAGCUCAACUCCGGAACUGCCAUUGAAACUGUAAAACUUGAGGACGAGAGAGGUGAGUGGAAUUCCCAGUGUAGAGGUGAAAUUCGUAGAUAUUGGGAAGAACACCGGUGGCGAAGGCGGCUCACUGGCUCGUAUCUGACGCUCAGGCGCGACAGCGUGGGGAUCAAACAGGAUUAGAUACCCUGGUAGUCCACGCCGUAAACGAUGAAUGCUAGCCGUUGGGCAGCUUGCUGUUCGGUGGCGCAGCUAACGCAUUAAGCAUUCCGCCUGGGGAGUACGGCCGCAAGGUUG
rnacentral:rRNA from 1 species